rnacentral:rRNA from 1 species
UACAGAGGUCUCAAGCGUUGUUCGGAAUUACUGGGCGUAAAGGGUGCGCAGGCCGCGCGGGCAGUCAAAUGUGUAAUUCAGGGGCUCAACCCCUGCACUGCGCUUGAUACUUCCGCGCUCGAGCUUUGGAGAGGAGUCUGGAAUUCUCGGUGUAGCAGUGAAAUGCGUGGAUAUCGAGAAGAACACUUAGGGCGAAGGCAGCUCGCUGGGACGUGACUGACGCUGAGACGCGAAAGCGUGGGGAGCAAACAGG